rnacentral:rRNA from 1 species
GUGGGGAAUCUUGCGCAAUGGGCGAAAGCCUGACGCAGCCAUGCCGCGUGAAUGAUGAAGGUCUUAGGAUUGUAAAAUUCUUUCACCGGGGACGAUAAUGACGGUACCCUGAGAAUAAGGAUCGGCUAACUCCGUGCCAGCAGCCGCGGUAAUACGGAGGGUGCGAGCGUUGUCCGGAUUUAUUGGGUUUAAAGGGUGCGUAGGCUGGAAGGACAGUCAGCGGUGAAAAGCAGUUGCUCAACAAUUGUCUUGCCGCAGAUACUACCUUUCUUGGAUUGGGAGGAGGUUACCGGAACGGAUGGUGUAGCGGUGAAAUGCAUAGAUAUCAUCCAGAACGCCAAUUGCGAAGGCAGGUAACUGUACCUAUAUCGACGCUGAUGCACGAAAGCAUGGGUAGCGAACAGGAUUAGAAACCCCGGUAGUCC